rnacentral:rRNA from 1 species
GACGAACGCUGGCGGCGUGGAUUAGGCAUGCAAGUCGGACGGUAGGGCUUUAUCGUAAGAUAGAGUUUGAGAGUGGCGAACGGGUGAGUAACACGUAGGAAUCUACCCUUAAGACGGGGACAACCCAGGGAAACUUGGGCUAAUACCGGAUGAGAGUGCGAGAGAUUGCAUUUAAAAGGAUGGCGAAAGUUGUCGCUUAGGGAUGAGCCUGCGGUCUAUUAGUUAGUUGGUGAGGUAAGAGCUCACCAAGGCGAUGAUAGAUAGGCGGCCUUAACGGGUGGUCGCCCACACUGGGAUUGAGAUACGGCCCAGACUCCUACGGGAGGCAGCAGUCGAGAAUAGUCUACAAUGGCCGGAAGACUGAUAGUGCGACGCCGCGUGAACGAUGAAUCCCUUCGGGGUGUAAAGUUCUUUUAUAUGUGAGCAGUGCUUCUUAUAUUUAACAGUAUGGGGAGAGAGAUAUUAGCAUAUGAAUAAGCAACGGCUAACUCCGUGCCAGCAC